rnacentral:lncRNA from 1 species
AUUACUAAAAAAUAUCAAAUUACUCAAUUGUCAAAAUAAUUAGUAGAUUACUUGAUUAACACAAUAAUCAUUAGUUACAGCCCUAUAUUAGUUAAAAUAUUUCAAAAUACAACUGCAUUGUUUAGAUUUGUGUGAUUUUAAAAGACAAAUAUUUUGUCAUUUAAAAAAAAAUCUUAAAAAUAGUAUUACAAUAUUUUCUCAUUCUAGUGAACCAAGUAUCUGUAGCCUACAUCUCGUGAGCUAAGUGCAGUGUUGAUAAGUGGUGAUAUAGCUCAUAAUCUCCCAAGUGUAUGAUACAGCUUUCGUUCUUUAGGUCAAUCAUAUAUUCAUGAAAAAAAAUAAGUUUGAAUAAGGAAAUAAUAAUAACGUAGUAGCUAAAGCUGCUAUUUGUGUAAUUGUAUGUAUAGAUUAAUUAGUUGUGUUCUCUCUUCUACAGGUUAAACUGCAUCAGUAUUACAGAUGAAGGUUGUGCUGCUCUGGCAUCAGCGUUUAAUUCAAACCUCAGAGAGCUGGAUCUGAGCAGGAAUCAAAUAGGAGACUCUGGAGUGACAGAAAUCUCCAGUCUGCUGAGAAAUUCACAGACACUACAGAUACUCAGACUUUCAGACUGCAGUAUCAUAAAGAAGGUUAUAAUACAGUUGCAAUCAAAAUUAUUCAACCCCCUUGACCUGCAAGACAUUUUGCUGCUGAGAACAACAUUUUAUGAAACCAGUUCAACACAGGCAUCAGUAAAAUAUUAGAGAAAGUUUGUUAAUACACUUUUGAGUGAUUCUGAGAACGGAACAUUGAUGAAUUAUGAUGAAAUUCAAAGUUGGCUCUAAACAUUCAUGUUCAAAAUGAUUCAACCUCCAAAAAAGUCAAAUUUUGUGCAGAAUCUUUUAUUCUUUAAAAUGUAAGUGCUUAGAAGCUUCUGUCACCUCUCUACUACAGUCUUGGCCCAUUCCUCACCUGAAAAAGCUUCCAGAAUCUUUGGUUUUCACAUUGCCAUUGCUUUCUUUAAAUUCAACCAGAUAUUUUCAAAGAGAAUUAAAUCUGGAGACUGAACAGGCCACUCAAGAAAAUUCUAUGACUGAUCCCUGAACCAAGCAGAAGUAGAUUUGGAUGUGUGCUUUGGGAUCACUGUUCUGCAGGAAAGUCCAUUGAUCAUCAGCUUCAGUCUUUGCAUCAAAUGCAUCACAAUUCUUGUCAAAAUGGCCUGAUACUUCAAAGAAUCCAUGAUGUCCUUCAUACAGUCAUGAUUUCCACUUCCUGCUGCAGUAAAGCAACCCCAUAACAGCACUGAUCCACCUCCAAGUUUGACGAUGGAGAUGGUGUUCUUCUGCUUAUGAGCUUUGUCUCUUUUGCAGCAGACAUACCGCUGAUCCAUGGGUCCAAAAAGUUCCAGUUUGGUCACAUCACUCCAUAAAACAUUCUUCCAGAGCUCCACAGGUCUACACAAAUGAAUUUUAUCAAGUUCAAGUCUGCCUUUUGUUCGGUCACAUCACUCCAUAAACAUUCUCCCAGAGC